UUUCAAAGGAGCACAGAAUGAAAUCUAAGUUACAUACUGUUCUAAGGUGAUGGUGGGUAGAUGUCCACUGAUGGAAUUGAAUGGGAACACCUGAACCAGGUGUUCUGGUUUCAUUUCAAAAACUUCUGUUGCAUUCAUACAUAGGAGAAGUUGGCAUACUUAUUUCUUCCAUUUUAUAUCACUUAGGGUAUCAUCCCAUGUAACCUAAAGAUGAAAAGUGUAAUUCUUGGUACUUCAAUUUGGUAAUAUUUUUGUGAGUUUUCAGUAAAUAGUGAUUGUGCUUUUGUGUCUAAGGAGCCAUUUAUUUGCCUUGUAUAUGUUAACAGAUAUAAGCCAAUAAGAGGAGUUAUUUAGCUAGAUUCUUACAAUCUGUGGGUCUAAUUUUUAAAAUCUUUGUCUUGUUUGAUAUUCAUUUUUGUUUAUCUCUAUUAACUAAAUCUUUAUGUUUUGAGGAUGUACUUUUUAGGGGAAGGGGUUCUGAUUCUUGUCGUUCUGAGUAUGCUAAGAACAAAUUUACAUGUACAAUAGUUGACAGUCGAUCCACAGGUCUUCUGAUUUCUUUAACCAGCCAAUUCUUCUCUUAAACCUUCGCCUAUACAUUUCUUCAAGGAAGAAUGUAAAUGUAUGUAAUCUGACUUCAAAUUAGCGUAAUGAUUUGGAAAGAGAGAAAAAUAGGACAAAAUAUACUUUCAACCUCCACCAGGGGGACCUAUUGCUGCAACUAAAGAAUUAAAUCUGAGGAAGAACAUGCAUUUCACAUGACAGAUACAUGAUAUUAAUUUUUAUUUUUUUUGAAGCAUUUUAAAAGCCUCUGUAUUCCAUAUAAGUAUUUAUUAUAAGUUUAAAUUAAAAUAUAAGAACAGAGAAAUAAGAUACUAGGUUUUCUUGAUUUGUGGACAAACUUUUUUUUAGUAAAUCUAAAGAUGAAAAUAUAGAUUCAGUCUUUAUUUGAGAAUAAUUUGUAUUUAAAAUAUGUAUAGGAUGACCUACAUAAAACAGAAAAAAAUCUUUUUCACAAAACACUUUUUUUUUUUUUUUGGUCUUUUUUCCUUUUUUCCUUGGGCCGCUUUUGUGGCAUAUGGAGAUUCCCAGGCUAGGGGUCUGAUCAGAGCCGUAGCCACCGACCUAUGCCAGAACCAUGGCAAUGCGGGAUCCAAGCCACGUCUGCAACCUACACCACAGCUCACGGCAACGCUGGAUCCUUAACCCGCUGAGCAAGGCCAGGGAUCAAAACUGCAACCUCAUGGUUCCUAGUCGGAUUUGUUAACCACUGUGCCACGACGGGAACUCCACAAAACACAUUUCUGAGUUUUGCCAAUUCAAUAUAUUUUAUUCCCUACUCUACUGGCUUCUGUCUGAGAUUUAAAGGCUUAUAGAUUUUACGAAACAUUUUCACAUGUACUAUAGUAUUUAUAACUAUAAAAUAGGUAAGUUCUGUAACUACAAAAUUGUUGAAUCUUUUUGCCUCAGUUCUAGUUGUGAGGGCAUUCUCUUUUGUGUCUUUAGAUUAUACAUGCUUUCUUAGAGUGUCAGGUACUAUUUUUGUUUAUACUUUGUAUCUCUUAAUAUUCCGCAAUUUUUUAUGGGUUAAGUAAUUCUGUUUCUAUAUUCUAGAUGUUUUAACCUGGCUCAUGUUACUUACCACUUUCCUGAUAUUAUUGAUUAGAAGUAAUUUAUAUUAGUGGUUCUUAGAGGUGAACAGUUUGCAAAUUCUGUGGAACAGAUAUUACUGUCUCUAGUUUUCAGAUGAGGAAAUUGAGGCUAAGAAUGAUUACAUUACCUAACUAAUGUAAUGUACUCUGCCUUCUGAUUCUAAGCCCAAUAUUUUCUCUGCAAUACCCAUGGUUGAUUUAACGUAUCCCAGAUGUGGACUAACUAUUUUUCCAAACAUAUUUCCUCAAUCUAGACUAGUCAACUCAAAAUUUCAGUUAAUAUAAUGUACCUUCUGACCAUAUGUUCUUCUGUUGGAGAAAUGCCUUGCUAUAGAUAACUUCUCUUGUCAUUAGAAAAUACCAACAUGUGAUGUUUUAGAUAAAGCAAGAGAUAUUUUUUGUAUACUAUCAUAAUACAUUUGGCUUAACAGUGUAGUCAUGAUGCCUUUGAAUUUUUGUUUACACACACACACACACACACACACACACGCAAACACAGAGUUUUCCUCCCCAAAGAAAAGUUUUAACACUGCAUUAUGAAGAAUUGAAAGCAACUCAAGCAAAAUGAAAUGAAAACGUGUCUCAGAUAUAUGAGACACGUACAAAGAGAAAUGACAAGGUACACUGAUACACUCGUACAAAGAGAAAUGACAAGGUACACUGAUACACUAUUUUCACUUAUUCAUUUAUUUUUGUAAUGCACUCUGUUGGGGGAGUGUAAAUAAACAGACAUUUUUCCACUGCUGGGAUUAAAAACUGGUGCAACCUCCAUGGAGGGCAGUUGAUAAUGUCUAACAACAUUAUAAAUGAUAGACAUCACUUGGCUAAGAAACUUGUUUUUUGGAAUUUAGCUCAUGGAUAUACUUGUGCACAUGCAAAAUUAUAUGUGUUUAAGAUUAUUAAUAGGUUUAUUAUAGUAAAAAUUGAAAAUAGAUGUCCCUUGAUAGGUUGAUUGAAUAGAAUACUAUAUAGCUGUUAAAAAGAAUGUGACCAAGCUUUACAGUGAUAUGCAAGCGCUUUAAGCAAUAUAUAAUGAAAACUUCAAGGUACCGAACAGUCUUAGCUAACUUUUCUGUAAAAAUCAGUAAGUGUAUAUAUAUACACAUAUAUAUAUGUAAAAUAUUUAUAAACUCUUGGAGGAUACACAAAGGAAUAAUACAAAUGAUUGCUUGGUUGGGAUUAGAGACAAAAGAGGCAACUGGGUAGCUGAGAGAUGAGUUAAAAAGACAUUUUCUGUAGAACCAUGAGACUGUUCUACCUAUUUUUUAAAAUGUGUAUGUUUGAAAGAGAAAAAAAGAAUAUGUAAGUCAGAUUAAGUAGAUGCAUAUAUACUUUUAUUUUCUAAAAUGACAGUAAAGGAGUAUUUUUAAAAAGGCAUAUACCCACAAGGACAGAGAAAAUAGAAGAGGAAGACAAAUUUCUGGAAGCUGGAAAGCAGAUGAAUGAAUGGUAAUGAAUCAGCAGUCCAAGAAAGCCAUAUUCUUUGCUGACAGUGGGAAAAACAAACUUUCACGUUGUAGGAUAUUCUAAAGGCUCAGGAAUUGGCUUCUCCAUUUACCUCUGGAAAUGAGAUUAUAGGUAGGGCUAAAAAUAGGAAAAGCGUUGAAAAUGUCUUUAAGCAGUUAAAUCCCAAUUGCACAGCCAGGUAUAUUCCCUUCCCCAAUCUUCAGACUUCAGUGUCUGGAAUGGGUUAAAACACACACACACACACACACACACACACACACAAAAGAUGUACCAGGAAUGGGUUAAAACACACACACACACACAAAAGAUGUACCAGGAAUGGGUUAAAACACACACACACACACACACACACACACACACACACACACACAAAAGAUGUACCAGGAAUGGGUUAAAACACACACACACACACACACACACACACACACACACACACACACACACACUAAAGAUGUACCCCGAAGAGGUAGGAGCUGGUAAGGAACUUGCUGAUAACAAAGUGAUUAAUUGAUCAUUUGCUUACUGAAUACCAAGACCUUUCCUCUCAUCUCUCUCUUUCCUCAUUUGGUGUCCAGAGUGUUGACAAUCCAGUCUAGGCUGAAAAUGCUUUUUUUAUGAAAUCUGACUAUUCAGGAGGAAAGACAUUGGGGAAUCCAGUGAAAUGACCAAACACUAUACAGUAAAGCUCAGGUGACUAGUCCUAGCAUGAACUUAGAGUUUUCAAGCAACUUUUUAGUAUCUCAUUCUUAAGUAUGAAAAACCAAACAUCCCUAAUUAACUCAGGAAAGCUUUUAAUAUGAACAAUGAAGACUGUAGUGGAUGCUGUAUUGCACUGUUCAGAUUGGACUUACAAGGACUGAAGCAUUCCUUCCUCCAGCUGCUGAUAAUGUUGACUACUGAGUGGCUGAGAAGUGUUACUUUGCCCAUGGUUGCAUUCUGUCCUCAGAGCAGCCAACAUCCAGUCUGUUUGAGAUGUAGGGUGUGAACUGGCAUCACAAAGACCUGGUUCCCUUUCCUCCACUGAGAAUGAAAAAGAAACAACUCUAAAGGACCAUCCAAGUUUCAGAGCUCCCUGUGGGAUUGGCUGUUGAAACUAUCACAAGUCAUCUUCUCAAUGGCCCAAUCCUGCCUUCCUUAUUUGCUUUAAUAUUUUGUUCCUGAAGACAUUCCCCAAAUAACCUUCUCUAAAUAUCGAGUUUAGGGGAACCCUAUCUACAACAGAAUCCAAAACAAAUAAAUAGAAAAAUGUGGGAAUAAAAAGAUUAAUAACCUCAGAUAAAUAUGAGAAGACAUUACAUCUAUGAUAAAAAAGCAAGACCACAGAAGAAAAUUUGAAAGAAUGUAAAAGAGCUUCUGAAAGUUAAAAAAAUAUAUGAUGGCAAAAAUGAAAAACUCAAUAGAUAAGUUGAAAGAUAAAGUUUGGGAAAUCUCAAAAUAGAGCAAAAGGAAGAGGAAAGAACAAGAUGUUCUGAAGGUCAAUCUAAAUAUCUGGCAUCUGAAUAAAAAAUGUUUCAGAAAAAAACAGCUGAGGAAAUGGGUGUCAUGGGGGAAUAAGGGGAAAGCAAUCAUCAGCAAAAUAAUAUUCUUAGAUUUUAGGGUAUGAGUUUCCAGGUUGAGUGCUUGGCUCAAUUAUAAAGAUAGGGUACCUCAGCAAAAUUUCAGAUCACUGUGGGACAAAAAGAAGAUUCUGUAAAUUUCCAGAGAGAAUAGAUAGGUCACAUACAAAGUAAUAUGAAUCAGGAUGAUUUCUUAGCACACUGGAAGUGGAAAAAUUACUUCCAAGCUAAUAUUCCAUAUCCAACCAAACUAUUAAUUGUGAGAUGGAAUAAAGACAUUUGGAAACCUGCAAGUUCUCUUAUUUACCUCCCAUUUGUCUUUUUUGGAACUCCUGGAAGAUAUACUCCCCAAAAUGAAAUCUUUGUUUAAUAAACUUCAAGAUGUAGUAUCCAUGAAAGAACAAUGCAAAGGGAAAGCAAAAUAAUGACAAUGGUUAAGGGAAAUAUCAAGAUGUUGACUGUGUCCUAGGCUUCAGAGCAUAAACCAUCCAGAUUGGAGCAAGUCUGAAAGCACUGGUAGAAAUUUCCAAGAUGAAAUCAUACCUUACAAUGAAUAAAAGAUUGAGAAGAGAUUUAAUAAUUUUCAGAGUGUGGAAUUAAAUUGGUGAAAACUACACUGAAAACUAAGCAAAUGUAAAAACAAGAUUGUUACCAACUUCAGGAAAAUGAAAACUUAUUCAAGAAAUAAAAAGUAGGAGUUUAGUAGGUUAAGAAUCUAGUAUCUGUGAGGAUGUGGGUUCCAUCCCUGGCCUGGCUCAGCAGGUUAAGCAUCCAGUGUUGCUCUGAGCUGCGGUGUAGGUCGCAGAUGUGGCUUGGGUUCUCUGUUGCCGUGGCUGUGGCUUAGGCAGGCAGCUGUAACUCUGAUUCGACCCCUAGCCUGGG
rnacentral:lncRNA from 1 species